AUACGAAGGGUGCAAGCGUUGUUCGGAAUUACUGGGCGUAAAGGGAGCGUAGGCCGUUUGCCAAGUCAGGCGUGAAAUCCCCGGGCUCAACCUGGGAACUGCGUUUGAUACUGGUAGACUAGAGUAUGGGAGAGGAUGGUAGAAUUCCGAGUGUAGAGGUGAAAUUCGUAGAUAUUCGGAGGAAUACCCGUGGCGAAGGCGGCCAUCUGGACCAUUACUGACGCUGAGGCUCGAAAGCGUGGGGAGC
rnacentral:rRNA from 1 species